GCAAAAUCAUUUUUGUAAACUGCGGUUCAUGACUUGUUAAUGGGUCAUGAAAUUAAUUUAUGUUUCAUGACCAGCUUUAAAAGCAAAUGGAAUGAUUGGGAGUCAAGAACACUGGGGCUUCCAUAUGAUAAGGAUCACGGUUUCCCGAAGCCUGUGUCACAAGCUGCACUGGGGCUCUCGAGUUUGUGAGACACGCUGGUUCAAGAGUGGGUAGGGGGAGGGCAGCUGUGAAAGGCGCUUGGGCUCUGUCCCCAGGGCAGUGGGAGCCUUUGAAAACCGUAAACAGAGCAGUGAGGUCCAGGCUGCGUUUCAGAGUGAUGCCUGGCCCAGGGUCUGGGCGUUGUGCUGCCGGGUGAGGGUACCGUACAGUCAGGCUCCCAGGAGAGGUUGUCAGCAGCCUGCGGAAGGAGCGGAGGGGCUGGGCGGUGGAGGAGGCCCCCAGGGCGACGCUGCCAAGCCUGGACCUCGGCCCUCAAGUCUUCUCCUACCUGCUCCUUCGGGGGCAGGUCCCUGUCUCCAGCCUCGGUGCAGACUGCCCCCACUGGCCCGUCACAGGGGCUGAUCCCUGACUCCACCCUCAGUGUUUCCAUCUGGGGAGCUCAGCCUCACCUCAGUGAUUCAAACGGGAAGAGAGAGGCUUCUGGCAUCUUGUUUAGACUGACACACUGUUUGGGCUUCCAGCUUCCCUAGAUUCAGAAGUAGCAGAAGAGUGGUGACCAACACUUUGAGAGAAAAUUUCCUUUCAACUAGUAUCAGACAUAAAUGUUGGGCCCCAGAGGGGUGUUCAGAACGUUCUGGGCUGUAAACUAGUCCAUUUUAUCUCAGUGAAGAAUGGGUGCUCUGUGAGCCUCCUCGUCUGGGCAAGGUUUGUGGGGUCUUAGUGGUGCUGGAGGCUGAGGUCAGGGCGAGGAGCAGCCACAGCAAGCCUCCCCCCGCCCCCGUUCCCUCUGGGGCCAGUGAGGGGGGCGUAGACAGAGAGUAACCAGUGGUUCUGCACCUGUGCUCAUGUGGAUGAGAAAUGGGCCACCGUUUAGCCCCUCCUCCUCCCUUUCUCCCCUCCUCCCACGCCCCCCACAGCCCAUUCCCUCUUCCUUCUACACCCCCCAUUCCCCCUACUCCCAUGCCCCCCCAAGCCCCCAUUCUCCUCCUCCUAUGCCCCCAUUCCUUCCUCCUCCCCCACCUCCCCAGGGCCCCCUCCCCACCUAGGAUCGGCCACACCGCCUUCCUGCUCUUCCUGCUGGACGCCCUCCUGCCUUAGAGGCCUUUGUGCCAGCUCUUCCCCCUGCUUAGAACAGGCAUCUGGAUCUUCACAAAGUGUCUUCUCAAAUGUCACUCUUCUUGCAGGUGACCGUCUAGAUACAUUCUCAUCCAACGCUUUUAUUUCUCGCUGGCUCUACUUCUCUUUAUUUGCACGGACCCCUCCCUGAGAUGGCUCACUGGGCAGCUUUGGGUGGCCUUUUCGCCCAUGUAGAGAGCAAGCGCCAUGAAGACGGACUGGGUCUGUCCAUGUCUGCUAGCUCCUGCCCUAGCUCUUGUGCUAGAGGAGUUGCAGGGCGUGUGGCCUGUGGCCAUAUCUGAAGAAUAAAUACUUCUUCAGUGGAUGAGAGCUGCAGCUGGGCCUCACUGAUGGAUAGACUCAUUCAUUCAGGGUUUUUUGUUCUCUGUGAAUUUUCUUAUUUUUUUUACAUGUUAUGGGGAAAUUUUAUGUAUAUAUUUAUUGAAGUUAGUUCAUUUAUAAUAUGUGUUUCAGAUGUAUAACGGUGAUUCACAAUUUUUAAAGGUUACCAUUUAUAGGUAUUAUAGUGGUGGUAUUUCCUGUGCUGUAUAAUACGUCCUUGUAUCUUAUUUAUUCAAUACAUAGUAGUUUGUACCUCUUCUACCCCUAUCUUGCCCCCCCACCAAUAGUAACCACUAGUUUGUUCUCUACAUCUGUGAGUCUAUUUCUUUAUUGUAGUCACUGGUUUGUUAUGUGUUUUAGAUUCCACAUAUAAGCGAUAUCAUACAGUAUUUGUCUCUCUGUUUGGCUUAUUUCACUUAGCAUAAUACCCUCCAAGUCCAUCCAGGUUGUUGCACAUGGCAAAAAACUUCAUUCUUUUUAAAGCCGAGUAACCCUUUUUUGUGUAUGUAUUCCACAUCUUUGUCCAUUCACCUGUUGACAGACAUGUGGGUUGCUUCCAUACCUUGGCAAAAUAACGCUGCUACGAACAUUGGGGUUCAUGUAUCUUUUCCCAUUAGUGUUUUCAUUUUUUCCCCAGAUAUAUACCCAGGAAUUGAAUUGCUGGGUCAUUGGGAAGUGCUGUUUUUAAUUUUUUGAGGACCUUUCAUGCUAUUUUCCACAGAGGCUGCACCAACUUACAUUCCCACCAAGAGUGCACAAAGUUUCCCUUUUUCCACAUCCUUCCCUGUAUCUGCUAUUUGGGGCCAUUCACAUGGUAUUCACUCAGCCAUGUGCCAGGCAUGCUUCUUGCUGGUGGGGGUGGUUUGGGAACCUGGGCUCGUGUCUUAUAGCCGCUUGGAGCGUGACACGGCAUGGUUUGCACCCUGGUGUCUUCAGCUGGAACAAGAACUCACUGCUUAGAAGUACCCUGCCUCCUUGGGGGCUUCCAGGUGGCCUUUAGUGGUUUGUCCUGGGGGACUUUAGGGUCCUACUAAGACCAGGAGGGAAAUUCUUUACACAUAGGCAUUGUGGUUCCAUCAGCAAAUCUAUCCACCAGUUCCAGUCUGGGAAGCGCUCACACCCUAUUCUCUGCCCCUAGACCUUAUGCUGCACCUUCCUCCCAUGCGUUCUCAACCCCUCCCCCCACUGCAUUGAGGAUGACAACCUGUAGUUCGUUUCUUGUUCCCUCUGUCUGCUCAGUUAGAUUUGAAGCCAAAGAGAAUCCCCGGUCAUAAAUUCAGAUGGGUAACAGAUGUUUCUUUUCUGUAAAUCUAAGUCUCCAUCCUACCAAGCAGUUAGAAAUGUGGCCUUGGUCAUUCCUAGGUCCUGCCUCCCCUCUGGGGGGUACCAGGGUGCCAGGUCUCAGGCAGUGCCAGGGGCUGGAAGAGCCCUGGCCAUUGGCCACUGAGAUGCUCAUCCUCCCAGCCACAUGGUCCUCAAGGCCUGUGCUUCUGCUAUGGCCUUGCCACCCUUGGAGCCCCUGAAUCUCAUGUCCCGUGUGCCUUCUGUGUAAGGGUGGCCAUUCUUGCACCUACCAUGGGUAUUUACAAAGAGAAGUAGGAGACCCUGUUCUGCCCUGAAGGACUCGUCUACUUAGCUGCGCACAAAGACCCACAUGUAAAAAAAAAAAAAAAAAAAAAAAAAAAAAA
rnacentral:lncRNA from 1 species